GACGAACGCUGGCGGCGUGCUUAACACAUGCAAGUCGAACGCUGAAGCUCAGCUUUUGUUGGGUGGAUGAGUGGCGAACGGGUGAGUAACACGUGAGUAACCUGCCUCCUUCUUUGGGAUAACGCCCGGAAACGGGUGCUAAUACUGGAUAUUCACUGGUCUUCGCAUGGGGGUUGGUGGAAAGGGUUUUUCUGGUGGGGGAUGGGCUCGCGGCCUAUCAGCUUGUUGGUGGGGUGAUGGCCUACCAAGGCUUUGACGGGUAGCCGGCCUGAGAGGGUGACCGGUCACAUUGGGACUGAGAUACGGCCCAGACUCCUACGGGAGGCAGCAGUGUGGAAUAUUGCACAAUGGGAGAAAGCCUGAUGCAGCGACGCCGCGUGAGGGAUGGAGGCCUUCGGGUUGUGAACCUCUUUCGCUCAUGGUCAAGCCGCAACAAUGGUUGUGGUGAGGGUAGUGGGUAAAGAAGCGCCGGCUAACUACGUG
rnacentral:rRNA from 1 species